rnacentral:misc_RNA from 1 species
CUGUUCGAGCGUCAUUUAAACCAAUCCAGCUUGCUGGGUCUUGGGCUUCGCCUCUGGGCGGGCCUUAAAAUCAGUGGCGGUGCCACUCGGCUCUAAGCGUAGUAAUUCUUCUCGCUAUAGGUCCCGGGUGGAGGCUUGCCAACAACCCCUAAUUCUUAAAGGUUGACCUCGGAUCAGGUAGGGAUACCCGCUGAACUUAA